rnacentral:rRNA from 1 species
AUUGAACGCUGGCGGCAUGCCUUACACAUGCAAGUCGAACGGCAGCACGGAGCUUGCUCUGGUGGCGAGUGGCGAACGGGUGAGUAAUAUAUCGGAACGUACCCAAGAGUGGGGGAUAACGUAGCGAAAGUUACGCUAAUACCGCAUACGAUCUAAGGAUGAAAGUGGGGGAUCGCAAGACCUCAUGCUCCUGGAGCGGCCGAUAUCUGAUUAGCUAGUUGGUGAGGUAAAGGCUCACCAAGGCAUCGAUCAGUAGCUGGUCUGAGAGGACGACCAGCCACACUGGAACUGAGACACGGUCCAGACUCCUACGGGAGGCAGCAGUGGGGAAUGUUGGACAAUGGGGGCGACCCUGAUCCAGCAAUGCCGCGUGAGUGAAGGAGGCCUUCGGGUUGUAAAGCUCUUUUGUCAGGGAAGAAACGGUGAAGGCUAAUAUCCUUUGCUAAUGACGGUACCUGAAGAAUAGGCACCGGCUAACUACGUGCCAGCCGCCGCGGUAAUAC